rnacentral:rRNA from 1 species
UUACGGGAGGCAGCAGUGGGGAAUUUUGCACAAUGGGCGAAAGCCUGAUGCAGCGACGCCGCGUGGAGGAAGAAUGCCUUCGGGUUGUAAACUCCUUUUGCAGGGGAAGAUAAUGACGGUACCCUGCGAAUAAGCCACGGCUAACUCUGUGCCAGCAGCCGCGGUAAGACAGAGGUGGCGAGCGUUGUUCGGAAUUACUGGGCUUAAAGGGCGCGUAGGCGGUAAUACAAGUCUGAGGUGGAAUUCGGGGGCUUAACUUCCGGACUGCCUUGGAAACUGUAUCACUUGAGUCGGACAGGGGAAGGCGGAAUUCCAGGUGUAGCGGUGAAAUGCGUAGAUAUCUGGAGGAAGGUCUGUGGCGAAGGCGGCCUUCUGGGUUUUGACUGACGCUGAGGCGCGAAAGCGUGGGGAGCAAACAGGAUUAGAUACCCCGGUAGU